UCAUCAUAGCAAAUUUUCAAUUCACAACACUCGAAUAGUACAAUAGUAGGAAGAGAAGAAGAAAAAAAAAAAAAGAUGAAGGGAGGGAGCUUUCAAAUUUUUGUCAUCCUUUUGGUUAUUCUUUUCCUCUCUAAAGGAAACGAAGUGUCUGCACAACCUGUACGCGUUUGUACAAUUCCAUACGGUCUUCCUAAUUGCAACGAUGCGCUGUGCAAAGCUAAUUGCGUGAAGCUGCAUGGCAAUGCUGCCAAUGGAAUUUGUCUAAAUAGCCAACAAACUUGUGAAUGUUUCUUUCCUUGUGGAACGAAACCAAAUCACAAUACUAAGUUUUAGCGGGGCUAAUAUCCAAAUAAAAAGUUUUGAGAGGUUUUCUAAAUUUUUGAAAAGCCAUAAUUCUCAAAACUCUUUCUAAUUUUGCCCCUCCCUACUUCUUUUCUAAUGUGAUAGAGAGAAGUUAUAAAAAUUCAAAAAUAAUAUUAAAAUGAUUUUUAAAAUGUUGAAUCUUGCUAAUUAAAAAUAAAUUCUCCCUGUGGAGAUUCUAUUAGUCUAUUUAUUAGUUAUAAAGUGUAAUAGGACAAUGGAAAUGAGAUUCAAUGAAGUUUAAAAAAUUUCA